UGGCACGUUCUGUGUCAUGCCCUCUAAGU
rnacentral:piRNA from 1 species